AUUAAAAGGCACCCUGUGAAUAUGUUUUCACUAAGCACUGAGAUCAGUGAGACCAGAAAAGUGCUAUAUUAAUGCUGACACUCAGCUAUGUAUAGGAAUAUAAGGUCUGGAAGUAGUGUAAAGGUGCCCUGUUUUAUGAUCAUGUCACUAUAUUAAGGCUUACAGAAAAAUGCAAUUGAUUUAAACUUGUUUGCAGGAAAUAUAAAAAAGAAAAAGAAAUAAAUUAGCUCUGAAAAAAAUCUAUUUCUUAGUUGAUGCCAAUCUAAAAAAAGACAUCAAAGACAUACACUGACUGGCCAGUAGGUGGUGAUUUGGUAUGUGACUGUUCUGAAGGCAGGACUGUGAUGCAGUUUCUGCCUCGCCACUAGAGGGCGCGGCCGUUUUGUGAGUAAUGUUUGACUGGGAUGGAAAAUGGUGUUCAUGAAGGCAGUGUGAAUCACAAGUUAUGCUCGGGAGCAGUUUAUGUGGGUUCAAUGAGAGUGUGCGUCCAUAAGACUGAACCACACACACACACAUACCCACACCCACGCUAAAUCUGCCAUUAAAGAGCUGAACGAUCAUCCCCUGUCCUCGUUAAUUUCUGGAGGGUCAUAGUGGCACUUGACCUGUGCACACCCUGCGAUCACCACCGUAGAACUGAACCUCAUAUCAGAAAUCAUCAUAACAGUGACAAUCAUGUGUCUUGAACAUAACGUGCUCCCGAGAAGGUUAGGUUUGCAGUGCAGGUUACCAUGGUAAUGUAACAUGCGAGCCAACUUUUAAUACUGAAACAAGGGUUAACCCUGAAGUUAUGUAGCUACUCACAACGGCCCUAAUCCAGCUCUGUAGUACAGGGCUUUGUAUUUUGCUUUUGUCAAACUGUUUGUUUGUGCUCUUUGUGUUUUCCUACAUUUCUUUGUGCUUUUAACUCUUAUGUUCUUAUGAUGCUCAUUUUUUAUUAUUAGUUUAGCCUGCUACUGUAGGUUCAGGGGGAUGAUGUGGGUCUCAGCUUUGACCCAGAGUCUCCACCUGGUUGGAUAUGCCCCUUUACCUAAGGAGACAUUCAAGAGGUAUUCUUGAAAAAAAAAAAACCCCUUCAUCAUUUUAAACGCAUGUCUUCAACCUGGUUGUGGUGGCAGCAACACCUGCACAAGGUUACAAAAAUAGAGAGAUACAUGGCUUGCUGAAACAACACCAAAGUGACAUCACUUCUGUCUUCCAGCAUUGUUCAUGAGGGAUCGAAUGCAAGCAUGUGCCCAGAGUCCUCACCUUUCAGUAUCUCUAAUGGUGAAACAGGACAACCUAUGGAAGAAACUAAUUUCUGCUGCUUGUGGCCAUAGUUCAGGGGUUUGUGAUUCAGUAGAUGGAGCAGCUGUUUGUGCAUAAGAACAGACUUCUAGCCCUGAACAACAACCUAAAGGUAGUUUAACUUAUCCAUUUGCAGAAACACCCCAAUUUCCUACUCAUAAUGCAGCAUCCAACAUUUUUCAGGUAGGAAGCAAGGCUUCAGGCUUGGAGGGACUAACUCUACUCUAUGCUGCAGGAGUUCAUCACCCAAUUAGGCCAAGAGGAACACAUCAUUUACAAAAAGAAAAGAUGUGAUCCCGAGUCCACUAAUACCUGUACUUGUCAAUAUUAAGUGCUAAGAAGACAACACAUUGACACUACAGAGAUAUUUGAUUACAUGUUAAUGCCUAAACAUUGGUUAAACUUUUGCAAUGAAGUUGCAGUGAAGUUAAAAUUAAGAUUUUUGCAACUUCAUUUCAGUUUUUGGUUUUAAUAUCAGUCUUGUGUUUUUGUUUCCGUAUGGCACCAAAUAUCUGGAGGUUUGUUUAAUAAUGUGGAUGUCUUUAUGAUCUUUGUGACACAAAUUAAAUUUUACUUCUAUAUUUACUUCUAUUUUACUUCUAUAUAUUAAUUCACAACAACAGUUGCCUCAAAACCCAACCCAAACAUAAUCAUGAGUUUACUGUACUGAAAUGGCAUCCAUAAUCACCAGAACUUAAUCCAACAGUGAACCUUUGGGAUAUUCAAAUGACAAAUCUGCAGCAACUGUAUGAUGCUGUCGUGUCAAUAUGGACCAAAAUGUCUAAGGAAUGUUUCCAGCCCCUUGUUGAAUCUGUUGAAAACAAUUGAGGCAGUCCUGAAGGCAAAAGAUGUAUCUAAUAAAGUGUCUUGUGAGUGCACACAUUAGAGAAUAUGUUGUUGUAUAUUAGAGUAAUUUAUUGCAUGUGCUGCAUUUUGUCAUCUGCCUUCUCAGACUUUGGUUCAUCAAUGCUGUAACUCGCAGACAAUCCCUCCACAGUUAUCAAUGGCAGACUGAACUAUCAGUGUGUGUGUGUGUAUGUGUGUGUGUGGGUGUGUGUCUGUGUGUGCUUGGCCUGAGAUAACUGGGGUCAGGAAGGCACCAGUCAUAGGACAACCAAUGAAAUAUUUAUAGGAAUACAACACUAGAAGGUUUUACUGUACAGAGCAAAUUCACUGUAUAUAACUGUGACGGC
ensembl:lncRNA